UACAGAGGUCUCGAGCGUUGUUCGGAUUCAUUGGGCGUAAAGGGUGCGUAGGUGGCGCUGUAAGUCGGGUGUGAAAUCCUGAGGCUUAACCUCGGAACUGCAUUCGAUACUGCGGCGCUUGAGGACUGGAGAGGAGACUGGAAUUCAUGGUGUAGCGGUGAAAUGCGCAGAUAUCAGGAGGAACACCGGUGGCGAAGGCGGGUCUCUGGGCCGAAAUUGACGCUGAGGAGCGAAAGCGUGGGGAGCAAACAGG
rnacentral:rRNA from 1 species